rnacentral:tRNA from 2 species
GGGGAUGUAGCUCAGUAGUAGAGCACAGGCUUUGCAUGUAUGAGACCCCGGGUUUGAUCCCCGGCAUCUCCA